AACGGACGCUGGCGGCGCGCCUAACACAUGCAAGUCGAACGAGAAGGCGUAGCAAUACGCUUGUAGAGUGGCGAACGGGUGAGUAAUACGUGGGUGACCUACCCUCGAGUGGGGAAUAACCCGCCGAAAGGCGGGCUAAUGCCGCGUACGCUUCCGUCCUCACGGGGACGGAAGGAAAGCUGUACCGUGGGUACGGCGCUCAAGGAUGGGCUCACGUCCUAUCAGCUUGUUGGUAGGGGUAACGGCCACCAAGGCUACGACGGGUAGCUGGUCUGAGAGGACGAUCAGCCACACUGGCACUGCGACACGGGCCA
rnacentral:rRNA from 1 species